AUUUAGCCUGGCUAAACAAUGUCCUGGGAAUAAAUAACCCAGGUCGUUUGAGACAACAACAAAAAAUACCCACCAAUCUUUUUAGAUUUAUUCAUGGUUAUGAACUCUGUUUUAACAUAUGGAGAUGUCAACACACGUGUAGUUGUGUAUUAUACAGUUCUAGUAACUAUUCACAUUUUAACAUAUACUAUAUUUCAAUUGUUGAUUCUGUAUCUACAGACUAUCUACAUACUGUAAAAUAUAAUUAUAUAUAAGAACACGUUGUGUUAGUUCGGGGCCUGGUAACCCUGGUAACCCUGGUAACCCUAGUAACCCAGGAGUGAACAUGUACAUGGACUUUAGUUCCAACCUCUACUAAUCACCUUACCUACUGAGCUAAUUGAUCACUGUCGGUGAUUGGCUAAAUUUCCAGGCCUAAUAAAAAAGCAAAACAAAAAGCCUGAAGCAUAUGCAGCUCCAGGACCAGGGUUGCCAGGACCAGGCAGGGUUGCCAGGACCAGGGUUGCCAGGACCAGGGUUGCCAGGACCAGGGUUGCCAGGACCAGGGUUGCCAGGACCAGGGUUGCCAGGACCAGGGUUGCCAGGACCAGGGUUGCCAGGACCAGGGUUGCCAGGACCAGGGUUGCCAGGUGACUUUACACAGGUAAUGUCCACAGUUUAACAGUGUCUCUACAAUGGUACAGGGCAUUCACCUGUUAGUUAGGUACAGCAGGGUCUGUGUGUCUGUUGUUAGUUAUAAUGUCUCUAUACAGCAGGAUGUCUGUUGUUAGUUAUAAUGUCUCUAUACAGCAAGAUGUCUGUUGUUAGUUAUAAUGUCUCUAUACAGCAGGAUGUCUGUUGUUAGUUAUAAUGUCUCUAUACAGCAGAAUGUCUGUUGUUAGUUAUAAUGUCUCUAUACAGCAAGAUGUCUGUUGUUAGUUAUAAUGUCUCUAUACAGCAGGAUGUCUGUUGUUAGUUAUAAUGUCUCUAUACAGCAAGAUGUCUGUUGUUAGUUAUAAUGUCUCUAUACAGCAGGAUGUCUGUUGUUAGUUAUAAUGUCUCUAUACAGCAGAAUGUCUGUUGUUAGUUAUAAUGUCUCUAUACAGCAGGGUCUGUGUGUCUGUUGUUAGGGUCUGUGUGGCUGUUGUUAGGGUCUGUGUGUAUGUUGUCAGCGUCUGUAUGUCUGUUGUCAGGGUCUGUAUGUUGGUUGUUAGGAUCUGUGUGUCCGUUAUCAAGGGUAUGUGUAUGUUGUUAGGAUCUGUGUGUCUGUUGUUAGGGUCUGUGUGUCUGUUGUUCGGGUCUGUGUGUCUGUUGUUGGAGUAUGAGUGUCUGUUGUUGGAGUAUGAGUGUCUGUUGUUGGAGUAUGAGUGUCUGUUGUUAGGGUCUGUGUGUCUGUUGUUAGGGUCUGUGUGUCUGUUGUUAGGGUCUGUGUGUCUGUUGUUGGAGUAUGAGUGUCUGUUGUUAGGGUCUGUGUGUCUGUUGUUAGGGUCUGUGUGUCUGUUGUUAGGGUCUGUGUGUCUGUUGUUAGGGUCUGUAUGUCUGUUAUUAGGGGUGUAGUGUCUGUUGUUAGGGUAUGUGUGUCUGUUGUCAGGGUCUGUGUGUCUGUUAUUAGGGUCUGUGUGUCUAUUGUUAGGGUCUGUGUGUCUGUUGUUAGAGUCUGUGUGUCUGUUGUUAGUCUGUGUGUCUAUUGUUGGAGUCUGUGUGUCUGUUGUUAGGGUCUGUGUGUCUGUUGUUAGGGUCUGUGUGUCUAUUGUUAGGGUCUGUGUGUCUGUUGUUAGGGUCUGUGUGUCUAUUGUUAGGGUCUGUGUGUCUGUUGUUAGUCUGUGUGUCUGUUGUUAGGGUCUGUGUGUCUGUUGUUAGUCUGUGUGUCUGUUGUUAGAGUCUGUGUGUCUAUUGUUAGGGUCUGUGUGUCUAUUGUUAGGGUCUGUGUGUCUGUUGUUAGGGUCUGUGUGUCUAUUGUUAGGGUCUGUGUGUCUGUUGUUAGUCUGUGUGUCUAUUGUUAGGGUCUGUGUGUCUGUUGUUAGGGUCUGUGUGUCUGUUGUUAGGGUCUGUGUGUCUGUUGUUAGGGCCGAUGUAUCUGUAACUUAGUUUUCCUAACAUCACGGGGAGGUAGAACAGUCCGCUGCCGGAUGACAUUUGCCUCGUCCCUUUCUGUCAGAAGGUCUUCCCCUUGCUCCUUCCUCUCUUGUUCCUCAAACAUGUUUGGUGGUAUUGCUGUGACAAUGUCAAGAUUCCCUUUGUCAAAUACUCUGUUCUGAAUAGUAGAGGGAUGGUUUCAGCCACUGAACUGAAAAAGGGAACUGGGCUCUUGAUCGGACAUGUACUAAAGUCAUCUAAGACACAGUUGUGUCACUUCCUUUAUGCUUGUGUCACUUCCUUUAUGCUUGUGUCCCUUCCUUUAGACUUGUGUCACUUCCUGAUGUCACACUCUGAUGGAGGAGGAGGAGGAGGAGGAGGAGGAGAUCCUGUCACAGACUGAUGAUGGAGGAAGAUGAGGAGGUCCUGUCACAGACUGAUGAUGGAGGAAGAGGAGGAGAUCCUGUCACAGACUGAUGAUGGAGGAAGAGGAGGAGAUCCUGUCACAGACUGAUGAUGGAGGAGGAAGAGGAGGAGAUCCUGUCACAGUCUGAUGAUGGAGGAGGAAGAGGAGGAGGCUCUGUCACAGACUGAUGAUGGAGGAAGAGGAGGAGAUCCUGUCACAGACUGAUGAUGGAGGAAGAGGAGGAGAUCCUGUCACAGUCUGAUGAUGGAGGAGGAAGAGGAGGAGGCUCUGUCACAGUCUGAUGAUGGAGGAAGAGGAGGAGAUCCUGUCACAGACUGAUGAUGGAGGAAGAGGAGGAGAUCCUGUCACAGUCUGAUGAUGGAGGAAGAGGAGGAGAUCCUGUCACAGUCUGAUGAUGGAGGAAGAGGAGGAGAUCCUGUCACAGACUGAUGAUGGAGGAAGAGGAGGAGAUCCUGUCACAGUCUGAUGAUGGAGGAGGAAGAGGAGGAGGCUCUGUCACAGUCUGAUGAUGGAGGAGGAAGAGGAGGAGGCUCUGUCACAGACUGAUGAUGGAGGAAGAGGAGGAGAUCCUGUCACAGUCUGAUGAUGGAGGAGGAAGAGGAGGAGGCUCUGUCACAGACUGAUGAUGGAGGAAGAGAAGGAGAUCCUGUCACAGUCUGAUGAUGGAGGAAGAGGAGGAGAUCCUGUCACAGUCUGAUGAUGGAGGAAGAGGAGGAGAUCCUGUCACAGUCUGAUGAUGGAGGAAGAGGAGGAGAUCCUGUCACAGUCUGAUGAUGGAGGAAGAGGAGGAGAUCCUGUCACAGUCUGAUGAUGGAGGAGGAAGAGGAGGUCCUGUGGAACUGACAGAGAGAAGAGUUGAGUUAUACACU